CCAGACUCCUACGGGAGGCAGCAGUGGGGAAUAUUGCACAAUGGGGGAAACCCUGAUGCAGCAACGCCGCGUGAGUGAGGAAGUAUUUCGGUAUGUAAAGCUCUAUCAGCAGGGAAUAGAAAAGAAGGUACCUGAAAAAGAAGCCCCGGCUAACUACGUGCCAGCAGCCGCGGUAAUACGUAGGGGGCAAGCGUUAUCCGGAUUUACUGGGUGUAAAGGGGGCGCAGACGGCAGCGCAAGCCAGGAGUGAAAGCCCGGGGCCCAACCCCGGGACUGCUCUUGGAACUGCGCGGCUGGAGUGCAGGAGGGGCAGGCGGAAUUCCUGGUGUAGCGGUGAAAUGCGUAGAUAUCAGGAGGAACACCGGCGGCGAAGGCGGCCUGCUGGACCGUGACUGACGUUGAGGCUCGAGAGCGUGGGGAGCAAACAGGAUUAGAUACCCGUGUAC
rnacentral:rRNA from 1 species